GGGGUAUGGCUCAGUUGGUAGAGCGCCGCGUUCGCAACGCGGAGGCCACGAGUUCGAAUCUCGUUACCUCC
rnacentral:tRNA from 1 species